GAUGAAGAACGCAGCGAAAUGCGAUACUUGGUGUGAAUUGCAGAAUCCCGUGAACCAUCGAGUCUUUGAACGCAAGUUGCGCCCGAAGCCAUUAGGCCGAGGGCACGCCUGCCUGGGUGUCACACGUCGUUGCCCCCCCAUCUACUCCUCCGGGAUUGCGGGGGGCGGAUGAUGGCCUCCCGUGCGCCUCGUCGCGCGGUUGGCAUAAAUGCCAAGUCCUCGGCGACGCACGCCACGACAAUCGGUGGUUGCGAAACCUCGGUUGCCCGUCGUGUGCGGUCGUCGCGCAUCGAGGGCUCGAAAAAAUUGCCGGGCUCCGGCUCGGCUUUCAACGCGACCCCAGGUCAGGCGGGGUUACCCGCUGAAUUUAAGCAUAUCAAUAAGCGGAGGA
rnacentral:misc_RNA from 1 species